rnacentral:rRNA from 1 species
UACGAAGGGUGCAAACGUUGCUCGGAAUCAUUGGGCGUAAAGCGCACGUAGGCGGCCUUGUAAGUCGGAUGUGAAAUCCCACGGCUCAACCGUGGAAGUGCAUCCGAAACUGCGAGGCUCGAGUAUGGAAGAGGGUCGCAGAAUUCCCGAUGUAGAGGUGAAAUUCGUAGAUAUCGGGAGGAAUACCAGUGGCGAAGGCGGCGACCUGGGCCAAUACUGACGCUGAGGUGCGAAAGCGUGGGGAGCAAACAGG